GAUGAACGCUGGCGGCGUGCCUAAUACAUGCAAGUCGAGCGAACGGACGAGAAGCUUGCUUCUCUGAUGUUAGCGUCGGGCGGGUGAGUAACACGUGGAUAACCUACCUAUAAGACUGGGAUAACUUCGGGACACCGGAGCUAAUACCGGAUAAUAUUUUGAACCGCAUGGUUCAAAAGUGAAAGACGGUCUUGCUGUCACUUAUAGGUGGAUCCGCGCUGCCUUAGCUAGUUGGUAAGGUAACGGCAUACCAAGGCGACGAUGCAUAGCCGACCUGAGAGGGUGAUCGGCCACACUGGAACUGAGACACGGUCCAGACUCCUACGGGAGGCAGCAGUAGGGAAGCUUCCGCAAUGGGCGAAAGCCUGACGGAGCAACGCCGCGUGAGUGAUGAAGGUCUUCGGAUCGUAAAACUCUGUUAUUAGGGAAGAACAUAUGUGUAAGUAACUGUGCACAUCUUGACGGUACCUAAUCAGAAAGCCACGGCUAACUACGUG
rnacentral:rRNA from 1 species